rnacentral:rRNA from 1 species
ACAAGCCUGAGAAACGGCUAGUAGGACUAAGGUCUGCAGCAGGCGCGAAACUUACACAAUGCUAGAUUAAAAUUAGCGAUGUAGUGAAGAAAAAUAACGAUGUACUUCCAUUUAAACAUGGUAGUACAAUUGGAAUGAGACGACUCUAAACCAGUCAGUCGAGUAACAAAUGGAGGGCAAGUCUGGUGCCAGCAGCCGCGGUAAUUCCAGCUCCAUUAGCAUACAUUAAAGUUGUUGCGGUUAAAAAGCUCGUAGUUGAAUUUUAGGCGAGCUCUAUUGGGAUGCAACCGUUAAGGGUUCAUGCGAGUCCAUCUUCGGAUGCUCCGUGCAAUCUGGUUGUAUUUUCCCUAUAGGAACUCGCUGUUUCGUCACUUAAUCGAGUGCGAAGCGGGCUGGAACGAUGGUUGAACCUCGGUUCACCUUGUUACAGCAAGUUUACCUUGAGAAAAUUAGAGUGCUCACAGCAGGCAGUUGGGGUGUAAAAGCUCCUUUAUGCUUGAAUAAUGUUGCAUGGAAUAAUAGAAUAUGGCCUCGGUUCUAUUCUGUUGGUCUUAUAGAACAACAAAUAAGUUGGUUAAAGCGACCAAAAGUCCGUUUGUGAGUGUGGUCUCAAGUAACUUGCUAUACGUCUAGUAGCUCUUGUUCUGAGCUUGGUUUGAAUUCUGUUGCCUGGGGCCUUAAAAUCUCAGAGCCUGGUUCUACCAUGAUUCUAAACUAUCUGCUAGUGUUGGCUUGUUUGCUUGUUACCAUUAAAGCACUCCUUAUUGGGCUAGCUUUUAAUCAACUGAGGCAAUGGUUAAAAGAAAUAGUCGCGGCGGCAUCAGUACUGCAUCGUGAGAG